rnacentral:rRNA from 1 species
CAAGAGCGUAUGUAAAAGUUGUUGCAGUUAAAAAGCUCGUAGUUGAACCUUGGGUUUGGUUGGCCGGUCCGCUUUUUUGCGAGUACUGGAUUCAACCGAGCCUUUCCUUCUGGCUAACCAGUCGUUUCGGCGGCUGGCGAACCAGGAUUUUUACUUUGAGAAAAUUAGAGUGUUCAAAGCAGGCAUUAGCUUGAAUAUAUUAGCAUGGAAUAAUAGAAUAGGACGUUAUGGUUCUAUUUUGUUGGUUUCUAGGACCAUCGUAGUGAUUAAUAGGGACGGUCGGGGGCAUCAGUAUUCAGUUGUCAGAGGUGAAAUUCUUGGAUUUACUGAAGACUAACUACUGCGAAAGCAUUUGCCAAGGACGUUUUCAUUAA